rnacentral:rRNA from 1 species
AUACGGGGGGUGCAAGCGUUAAUCGGAAUUACUGGGCGUAAAGCGCGCGUAGGCGGUUUGCUCAGUCGCAUGCGAAAGCCCAGGGCUCAACCUUGGAACUGCAUACGAUACUGGCAAACUAGAGUGUGAGAGAGGAUAGUGGAAUUUCCGGUGUAGCGGUGAAAUGCGUAGAUAUCGGAAGGAACAUCAGUGGCGAAGGCGACUGUCUGGCUCAACACUGACGCUGAGGUGCGAAAGCGUGGGUAGCAAACAGGAUUAGAAACCCUAGUAGUCC